GAUGAACGCUGGCGGCGUGCCUAAUACAUGCAAGUCGAGCGAACGGACGAGAAGCUUGCUUCUCUGAUGUUAGCGGCGGACGGGUGAGUAACACGUGGAUAACCUACCUAUAAGACUGGGAUAACUUCGGGAAACCGGAGCUAAUACCGGAUAAUAUUUUGAACCGCAUGGUUCAAAAGUGAAAGACGGUCUUGCUGUCACUUAUAGAUGGAUCCGCGCUGCAUUAGCUAGUUGGUAAGGUAACGGCUUACCAAGGCAACGAUGCAUAGCCGACCUGAGAGGGUGUUCGUCGCCUCAGGAUCUGCGCCAGGUUCCUGACUCCGACGGGAGGCAGCAGUAGGGAAUCUUCAACAAUGGGCGAAAGCCUGGCGAACCGACGCCGCGUGAGUGUUGAAGUGCUUCGGAUCGUAAAACUCUUUUAUUAGGGAAGAACAUAUGUGUAAGUAACUGUGCUCAUCUUGACGUUACCUAAUCAGAAGGCCACGGCUAACUACGUG
rnacentral:rRNA from 1 species